rnacentral:lncRNA from 10 species
UGAUAACAAAGCGUCCUGGAAUCUUUUCUAAGUACCAUGCCUCUGUGCUGUCCAGACACCUCAACAUAAAGGUCGAGGGAGUUUUUCCAAGAUGGUCUGAACCUUCCUGACACCGUCUCUCCUGGCCUGACGCACAUCGGCUCGUCCCUCGGGGUCCACUGAAUCCAGGGCCAGCAGCUCUUUGGUCAAAUACUCUUCGAUCAUCAACACCUGUAAUCCCAGCACUUUGGGAGGCCUAGGUGAGUGGACCACCUGAGCCAGGCUGGUCUUGAAUUCCUGGCCUCAAGUGAUCCACCUGCCUCAGCCAGGUACUACCUCUCUAAGAAAAGAAAAAAGGUAUCCCACAUUAACUGUAACUUUCACUCUCAAGCAGGUGUGAAGCUGAACAGAUUCAGACGGAGCUGAGAGGCAAGCAUGACUCAGGGUGCAGAUAGGACACGGGAGUUUGUGCCCAGGAACAACGCUGGCACACACCACAGGAUGAUGUGCAGACAGGAAAAUGAGAGGACUUACUGCUUAGGAAUCCUACUAGGAAUGCCUCAAAUCUCAGCUAAGAACCAGAUUAAGAACUAUUUUUUAGCUAUUAAUGCACAGAAUCCAUUGACAUAUCCCUGAGAUGUUUGGCUUCAGGAUUAAAAUGCUGUCUUAAAGCAGCUG